CCUACGGGAGGCAGCAGUAAGGAAUAUUGGUCAAUGGACGAAAGUCUGAACCAGCCAUGCCGCGUGAAGGAUUAAGGCCCUCUGGGUUGUAAACUUCUUUUAUCUGGGACGAAAAAAGGGUAUUCUUACUCACUUGACGGUACCAGAGGAAUAAGCACCGGCUAACUCCGUGCCAGCAGCCGCGGUAAUACGGAGGGUGCAAGCGUUAUCCGGAUUUACUGGGUUUAAAGGGUGCGUAGGUGGGUUUGUAAGUCAGUGGUGAAAUCUCCGAGCUUAACUCGGAAACUGCCAUUGAUACUAUAGAUCUUGAAUUAUCUGGAGGUAAGCGGAAUAUGUCAUGUAGCGGUGAAAUGCUUAGAUAUGACAUAGAACACCAAUUGCGAAGGCAGCUUACUACGGAUAUAUUGACACUGAGGCACGAAAGCGUGGGGAUCAAACAGGAUUAGAUACCCUGGUAGUCCACGCCCUAAACGAUGGAUACUCGACAUCAGCGAUACACUGUUGGUGUCUGAGCGAAGGCAUUAAGUAUCCCACCUGGAAGUACGAUCGCAAGAUUGAAACUCAAAGAGUAGUACGACGUGAGAACGUGCGACGACGACACCGAGGAGGUUAGAGG
rnacentral:rRNA from 1 species